UUAACACAUGCAAGUCGAGGGGCAGCAUGGUCUUAGCUUGCUAAGGCCGAUGGCGACCGGCGCACGGGUGAGUAACACGUAUCCAACCUGCCGUCUACUCUUGGACAGCCUUCUGAAAGGAAGAUUAAUACAAGAUGGCAUCAUGAGUCCGCAUGUUCACAUGAUUAAAGGUAUUCCGGUAGACGAUGGGGAUGCGUUCCAUUAGAUAGUAGGCGGGGUAACGGCCCACCUAGUCUUCGAUGGAUAGGGGUUCUGAGAGGAAGGUCCCCCACAUUGGAACUGAGACACGGUCCAAACUCCUACGGGAGGCAGCAGUGAGGAAUAUUGGUCAAUGGGCGAGAGCCUGAACCAGCCAAGUAGCGUGAAGGAUGACUGCCCUAUGGGUUGUAAACUUCUUUUAUAAAGGAAUAAAGUCGGGUAUGGAUACCCGUUUGCAUGUACUUUAUGAAUAAGGAUCGGCUAACUCCGUGCCAGCAGCCGCGGUAAUACGGAGGAUCCGAGCGUUAUCCGGAUUUAUUGGGUUUAAAGGGAGCGUAGAUGGAUGUUUAAGUCAGUUGUGAAAGUUUGCGGCUCAACCGUAAAAUUGCAGUUGAUACUGGAUAUCUUGAGUGCAGUUGAGGCAGGCGGAAUUCGUGGUGUAGCGGUGAAAUGCUUAGAUAUCACGAAGAACUCCGAUUGCGAAGGCAGCCUGCUAAGCUGCAACUGACAUUGAGGCUCGAAAGUGUGGGUAUCAAACAGGAUUAGAUACCCUGGUAGUCCACACGGUAAACGAUGAAUACUCGCUGUUUGCGAUAUACUGCAAGCGGCCAAGCGAAAGCGUUAAGUAUUCCACCUGGGGAGUACGCCGGCAACGGUGAAACUCAAAGGAAUUGACGGGGGCCCGCACAAGCGGAGGAACAUGUGGUUUAAUUCGAUGAUACGCGAGGAACCUUACCCGGGCUUAAAUUGCAGAUGAAUUACGGUGAAAGCCGUAAGCCGCAAGGCAUCUGUGAAGGUGCUGCAUGGUUGUCGUCAGCUCGUGCCGUGAGGUGUCGGCUUAAGUGCCAUAACGAGCGCAACCCUUGUUGUCAGUUACUAACAGGUUCCGCUGAGGACUCUGACAAGACUGCCAUCGUAAGAUGUGAGGAAGGUGGGGAUGACGUCAAAUCAGCACGGCCCUUACGUCCGGGGCUACACACGUGUUACAAUGGGGGGUACAGAGGGCCGCUACCACGCGAGUGGAUGCCAAUCCCAAAAACCUCUCUCAGUUCGGACUGGAGUCCGCAACCCGACUCCACGAAGCUGGAUUCGCUAGUAAUCGCGCAUCAGCCACGGCGCGGUGAAUACGUUCCCGGGCCUUGUACACACCGCCCGUCAAGCCAUGGGAGCCGGGGGUACCUGAAGUGCGUAACCGCGAGGAGCGCCCUAGGGUAAAACUGGUGACUGGGGCUAAGU
rnacentral:rRNA from 1 species